rnacentral:rRNA from 1 species
UACGUAGGCAGCGAGCGUUGUUCGGAAUUACUGGGCGUAAAGAGUGUGUAGGCGGUGCUCCCAGUCUGUUGUGAAAUCUCCCGGCUUAACUGGGAGGGUGCAGCGGAAACUAGAGUGCUAGAGGGUGGGAGAGGUAAGCGGAAUUCCUGGUGUAGCGGUGAAAUGCGUAGAUACUGGGAGGAACACCAGUGGCGAAGGCGGCUACCUGGACCGGUUCUGACGCUGAGGCGCGAAAGCGUGGGUAGCAAACAGG